AUCAAGACAGGGCCAGGUGGGGACAAGGAGCAGCAGGGGAGAUGCCAGGAGUCAACAGAUGGGAAACAAAACAAGAAACACUAAAUGGGAAACUGAAUUGUUUGGGUGGGAGAAUUUACCUUCUAGCUGAUUUUUAAAAAUAUUUCCUCAUCUCAAAACAAGAAAACAAACAAACAAGACUGUCCUUAGGAGCAGCUGCACUUAACUGCCAUUUAACCCAGAGGCCAUCUUUCACACAAAGGUACUAUCUCUUCCCAAGGAUUACAAAGAUGAAAAGUCCUUGUUUUCACUUCUAAGAUGUCAGAGAAUGAAAAGAGAGAAAAGUAAUUUCAGUGCCCAGAAGUAGAAAUGCCUGUGUGAUUGUUUCCAAACAAUAUCAGUUGCUUUUGAAGUCAACAGGAGACCGUGAAGGCUGAUUCUGUUUCUAAUUCACAGAUGUUCUUGGCCCUCAGUGGCUCCUGUAGAACAAGCACAUAUCAUUGGCUCAGGACACCUUCUUUCUGUGAACCACUACGUCAAACCUCACCUCUGAUCCUAUUAAGCACAAUUUUAGCAAGAAGAACGAAGAUGGCAGAGAGAGACAGAGAAGAUAUGUAGCCUUCUGAACCCCAGGUCUCAGACAUCAUAGUCCUCCAUCUGCUCAUGUGCUAAUCUAGAAAUGUUAAUUUACCCCAUCUCUUUAUUCUUGCUUAUUAUAUGUUUUAAAGUGAUUUAAUAAACCAUGUGAUUCAAGCAUUA